rnacentral:rRNA from 1 species
UACAGAGGUCUCAAGCGUUUGUUCGGAUUCAUUGGGCGUAAAGGGUGCGUAGGUGGCGCCGUAAGUCAGGUGUGAAAUUUCGGAGCUUAACUCCGAAACUGCAUUCGAUACUGCCGUGCUUGAGGACUGGAGAGGAGACUGGAAUUUACGGUGUAGCGGUGAAAUGCGUAGAUAUCGAUAAGGAAGACCAGUGGCGAAGGCGGGUCUCUGGACAGUUCCUGACGCUGAGGCACGAAGGUCAGGGGAGCAAACGGG